rnacentral:rRNA from 1 species
AACGAACGCCGGCGGCAGGCCUAACACAUGCAAGUCGAACGCCCUGGCAACAGGGAGUGGCAGACGGGUGAGUAACGCGUGGGAACGUGCCCUUCGGUUCGGAAUAACUCAGGGAAACUUGAGCUAAUACCGAAUACGUGCGAGAGCAGAAAGAUUUAUCGCCGAAGGAUCGGCCCGCGUCCGAUUAGCUAGUUGGUGAGGUAAUGGCUCACCAAGGCGACGAUCGGUAGCUGGUCUGAGAGGAUGAUCAGCCACACUGGGACUGAGACACGGCCCAGACUCCUACGGGAGGCAGCAGUGGGGAAUAUUGGACAAUGGGCGCAAGCCUGAUCCAGCCAUGCCGCGUGAGUGAUGAAGGCCCUAGGGUUGUAAAGCUCUUUCGCCAGGGACGAUAAUGACGGUACCUGGAUAAGAAGCCCCGGCUAACUUCGUGCCAGCAGCCGCAGUAA